rnacentral:snRNA from 1 species
UAAAUUGGAACAGUGCAGAGAAAAUUAGCAUGGCCCUUGCAUAAGGGUGACAUGCAAAUUCGUUAAGCAUUCCAUAUUAAA